rnacentral:rRNA from 1 species
AUUGAACGCUGGCGGCAUGCUUUACACAUGCAAGUCGAACGGUAACAGGCCUUCGGGUGCUGACGAGUGGCGAACGGGUGAGUAAUGCAUCGGAACGUGCCCAGAGGUGGGGGAUAACGCAGCGAAAGCUGUGCUAAUACCGCAUGUGAUCUGAGGAUGAAAGCGGGGGACCAAGCAGCAAUGUUUGGCCUCGCGCCUCUGGAGCGGCCGAUGUCAGAUUAGGUAGUUGGUGGGGUAAAGGCCUACCAAGCCGACGAUCUGUAGCUGGUCUGAGAGGACGACCAGCCACACUGGGACUGAGACACGGCCCAGACUCCUACGGGAGGCAGCAGUGGGGAAUUUUGGACAAUGGGCGCAAGCCUGAUCCAGCAAUGCCGCGUGCGGGAAGAAGGCCUUCGGGCUGUAAACCGCUUUUGUACGGAACGAAAAGGCUCUGGCUAAUACCUGGGGCUGAUGACGGUACCGUAAGAAUAAGCACCGGCUAACUACGUG